rnacentral:rRNA from 1 species
GACGAACGCUGGCGGCGUGCCUAACACAUGCAAGUCGAACGGAAAGGCCCUGCUUUUGUGGGGUGCUCGAGUGGCGAACGGGUGAGUAACACGUGUGUAUCCUGCCCUUGACUUUGGGAUAAAUCUAGGAAACUGGGGCUCAUAUCGGAUAGGAGCUCCUGCUGCAUGGUGGGGGUUGGAAAAUUUCGGCGGUUGGGGAUGGACUCGCGGCUUAUCAGCUUGUUGGGGGGGUAGGGGAUUACGAAGGUUUUGACGGGUAGCCGGCCUGAGAGGGUGACCAGCCACAUGGGGACUGAGGUACGGCCCAGACUCCUACGGGAGGCAGCAGUGGGGAAUAUGACACAAUGGCCGGGAGCCUGAUGCAGCAACGCCGCGUGCGGGAUGACGGCCUACGGGUUGUAAACCGCUUUCGCCUGUGACGAAGCGUGAUUGACGGUAAUGGGUAAAGAAGCACCGGCUAACUACGUG